AGAACGAACGCUGGCGGCAUGCCUAAUACAUGCAAGUCGAACGAACUCUUCGGUGUUAGUGGCGCACGGGUGCGUAACGCGUGGGAAUCUGCCCUUGGGUUCGGAAUAACAGUUGGAAACGACUGCUAAUACCGGAUGAUAUCGAAAGAUCAAAGAUUUAUCGCCCAGGGAUGAGCCCGCGUAGGAUUAGCUAGUUGGUGAGGUAAAGGCUCACCAAGGCGACGAUCCUUAGCUGGUCUGAGAGGAUGAUCAGCCACACGUGGGACUGACGACACGGCCCAGACCUCCGUACGGGAGCAGCAGUAGGAAUAUGGACAAGUGGGCGCAAGCCUAGAUCAGCAAGUCGACCGCGUGAGCG
rnacentral:rRNA from 1 species